AAAAAUUUAGUUAAAAUAUAACAUCAGCUUGUCAUGCUGAAAUUAUUACCAGGUAAUAAUUUUUA
rnacentral:tRNA from 1 species